UUGAAGAUGUUUCUGGUGCUGAGAGGAGUAAAGAAAGCAAAAAUAUUUUUUUUCAAGGACUCAAAUGGCGACAUUUUUCCAUUUGGUUGCUGUACCUUUGUAUACUGGGUUUAAUGCUGUUUUGUGACUUCUUUAUGUACUGAUUGAAGAGUCUUUGUAAUAAAAUGUUAUAUUGUGUCAUAUGAAGGUUUCUGUAAUAACAGGUGCUUUACAAUAAAAAUCCCUGCUGUGUUCUCUAUAGAUUUCCAAGGGAUAAGUAGAUUUCCUAUGC
rnacentral:lncRNA from 1 species